AAUUCUUGGAAUUACAGAUUUUUCAGAACCAAGCUCUCUCAUCGAGUUUCGGGACAGAAGAAUUGGAUACGCUCGGGAGCCUACACGCCCAGAUGAUGUAUAUAGAUGUAAUAUAACAGAGUUUCGGGACAGAGGGAUUGGAUACGAACGGCAGCCUUCCCUUCCCUUUUACGUGUAUAAGAACACAACCUACACG